rnacentral:rRNA from 1 species
GAUGAACGCUAGCGGCAGGCCUAACACAUGCAAGUCGAACGGUAACAGGUCUAGCUUGCUAGAUGCUGACGAGUGGCGGACGGGUGAGUAACGCGUGGGAAUCUGCCUUCUAGUGGGGGAUAGCCCGGAGAAAUCCGGAUUAAUACCGCAUACGCCCUACGGGGGAAAGCCGGGGAUCUUCGGACCUGGCGCUAGUAGAUGAGCCCGCGUGAGAUUAGCUUGUUGGUGGGGUAAUGGCCUACCAAGGCAACGAUCUCUAGCUGGUCUGAGAGGACGAUCAGCCACACUGGGACUGAGACACGGCCCAGACUCCUACGGGAGGCAGCAGUGGGGAAUAUUGGACAAUGGGCGAAAGCCUGAUCCAGCAAUGCCGCGUGUGUGAAGAAGGCCUGAGGGUUGUAAAGCACUUUCAAUCGUGAAGAAAAGUUGCAGGCUAAUACCCUGUGACCUUGACGUUAACGAUACAAGAAGCACCGGCUAACUCCGUGCCA